GUGGGGAAUAUUGGACAAUGGGCGCAAGCCUGAUCCAGCCAUGCCGCGUGAGUGAUGAAGGCCUUAGGGUUGUAAAGCUCUUUCACCGAUGAAGAUAAUGACGGUAGUCGGAGAAGAAGCCCCGGCUAACUUCGUGCCAGCAGCCGCGGUAAUACGAAGGGGGCUAGCGUUGUUCGGAUUUACUGGGCGUAAAGCGCACGUAGGCGGUUUGUUAAGUCAGGGGUGAAAUCCCGGAGCUCAACUCCGGAACUGCCUUUGAUACUGGCAAGCUAGAGUCCGGAAGAGGUAAGUGGAACUCCUAGUGUAGAGGUGGAAUUCGUAGAUAUUAGGAAGAACACCAGUGGCGAAGGCGGCUUACUGGUCUGGAACUGACGCUGAGGUGCGAAAGCGUGGGGAGCAAACAGGAUUAGAAACCCCGGUAGUCC
rnacentral:rRNA from 1 species